GCACACCUGAAAACACCACCUGGAUUCGACCCAGGGAGGUGGUGGGCGACCCGUGUGCU
rnacentral:tRNA from 1 species